rnacentral:rRNA from 1 species
UACGGGGGGAGCAAGCGUUGUUCGGAUUUACUGGGCGUAAAGGGCGCGUAGGCGGCGCAACAAGUCACUUGUGAAAUCUCCGGGCUUAACCCGGAGCGGCCAAGUGAUACUGUCGUGCUAGAGUGCGGAAGGGGCUACUGGAAUUCUCGGUGUAGCGGUGAAAUGCGUAGAGAUCGGGAAGAACAUCGGUGGCGAAAGCGCUCUACUGGACCGCAACUGACACUCAGGGACGAAAGCUAGGGGAGCGAAUGGG